rfam:Astyanax mexicanus chromosome 16, whole genome shotgun sequence.
GCCUGACACCAGCAGCACAUCAAUAUUGGCAGCUGCCCUCUCCCUGGGUUGCCAGUAUGGUUUGUGCUGCUCCCGUCAGAC